GUGAGAACCGCAUUUGAAGUGUUCUACACACCGCUCACUAGGCAGGGCUCUCAGCCAGAUAGCGAAGGUACAAACCCAUUGUCGGAGUUGGGUUUUUUCCGCUUCCCUCCAACAAUAGGCUUGAACACUCGGCUAAAGGCGAUGGUCAGUCUUUCUGCCUAGAACUAUGAACGGGAGUAGAAGUGCGCGUCGGGUGUAGCAUAAAUGAAAAAAAAGAAACAGUUAGUGGAAGGAAUUGUAGAAUAAUUGAGUUUGUGAAAAAAAGAAAUAGGAACCUGAAAAAUAAUUAAUUAUACACUUACCUGGAAACCCUGAAAAAGAAAAAAAAAACUGAAAAAAAGGUCCGCACAGUGGGCCUUUUUUUAUGUCUUCUCCAAAAUAGGCAUCAACCACAACUUUCUAGGCCGAAAGUGUAGAGAGCCACCAACAAACUCAAGCGAUUGGCUUACAGCAAGACCGAGCACUCUAACCGCAACUUUUACAACCGAUUGCGAAGGACAAUCGAACCUGGACAGACGUGUCCCAGAGGACGAAACAGGAAGACAUAUUCACACAAGGAUAUGGAUAAACAACGUAUCACACCAAAUUGAGGACCACACCACAUUGAGGACCACACCACAUUGCUCAAAUACAUAACGAUUGCGCAAGUAUACAAAACCAUAAACUGUGACGUCACAAAUAGUAAAGUAUAUCAAAACACAUAGAAAAGUAUAUGUUUAGAAUUAAAUUAAAAGUAAAAGAAGUAUUUACACCUAGAAUUUAUAUAGUACGCCACUACAAACAUAAUACACGUGUAAGAAAUUAAAAGUUUGGUUUACAUAAAUUUUCGUUUGUACACAUAUUUCCGUAUUUCUGUUUGUCGUUUUCCCGAACUCAAAAGGAGUUGUCAGGCCUCGCCCGCUCUAGUUUGGCAGGAAUCGUGUGCCAUCGUCAGCCUUUGAGGAAGUUGGAAAACGGCUGAGGGUUCUGUCCCUUGUUGCGUGUGUAUAACACUUUUAGGAAAUUAAACCCGAGCUCCCGAUUAACAGCUAGAUGCUGCCGGUGAGUGCUGGGAGAACGACCCUGUGGUUUUCUCAUCAUGCUCUUUGAGCUAGACACUCAUAGUCACUCACGAGUAACGAACAGGAAGUUACAAAUUGGCGCCCAACAAAAACACACACAUACACACGAACACGGAUAAGUUAGGAACUGAACGGUUACACUAUCCCCCCAUAGAGGGAGGAAUAAAAUACUUCGUAUUAUUCAUUUUCUUCUUUAUCGUUCUCCAAACGUUUUCAUAGAUAAUUUCUCAAUAUAUACAUUAUUUUCAUUCAUACAUUUAGUGUUAUAUGUUAUUUGCAUGUUCAUGUAUAUGAAAAAUAUUUAUUAUUUAUGUAUAUCUGUAUUCAUUCGA